AGCGAACGCUGGCGGCAGGCCUAACACAUGCAAGUCGAACGAAGUCUUCGGACUUAGUGGCGGACGGGUGAGUAACACGUGGGAACGUGCCUUUAGGUUCGGAAUAACUCAGGGAAACUUGUGCUAAUACCGAAUGUGCCCUUCGGGGGAAAGAUUUAUCGCCUUUAGAGCGGCCCGCGUCUGAUUAGCUAGUUGGUGAGGUAAAGGCUCACCAAGGCGACGAUCAGUAGCUGGUCUGAGAGGAUGAUCAGCCACAUUGGGACUGAGACACGGCCCAAACGCCUACGGGAGGCAGCAGUGGGGAAUCUUGCGAAAUGGGCGAAAGCCUGACGCAGCCAUGCCGCGUGAAUGAUGAAGGUCUUAGGAUUGUAAAAUUCUUUCACCGGGGACGAUAAUGACGGUACCCGGAGAAGAAGCCCCGGCUAACUUCGUGCCAGCCGCCGCAGUAACAC
rnacentral:rRNA from 1 species